rnacentral:rRNA from 1 species
GAGUUUGAUCGUGGCUCAGAUUGAACGCUGGCGGUAUGCUUAACACAUGCAAGUCGAACGGUAACAGGAGAGAGCUUGCUCUUUUGCUGACGAGUGGCGGACGGGUGAGUAAUGCGUAGGAAUCUGCCUAGUAGUGGGGGACAACGUGUGGAAACGCACGCUAAUACCGCAUACGCCCUACGGGGAAAGCGGGGAGUCUUCGGACCUCGCGCUAUUAGAUGAGCCUACGUUAGAUUAGCUAGUUGGUGGGGUAAAGGCCUACCAAGGCGACGAUCUAUAGCUGGUCUGAGAGGAUGAUCAGCCACACUGGGACUGAGACACGGCCCAGACUCCUACGGGAGGCAGCAGUGGGGAAUAUUGGACAAUGGGCGAAAGCCUGAUCCAGCAAUAACCGCGUGUGUGAAGAAGGCCUGAGGUUGUAAAG